rnacentral:rRNA from 1 species
UCUCUCUAAGAUUGAGCUGUGAUGGGGAAGCACUUUCGAGUGCGAAGUAUCUGAUGUCACACUGCCAAGAAAAUCUUCUAGCGUUUAAUUAUAACCUACCCGUACCGCAAACCGACACAGGUAGUCGAGGCGAGUAGCCUCAGGUGAGCGAGAGAACUCUCGUUAAGGAACUCGGCAAAAUGACCCCGUAACUUCGGGAGAAGGGGUGCUCUGCAUUUGUAGAGCCGCAGUGAAUAGGCCCAAGCGACUGUUUAUCAAAAACACAGCUCUCUGCUAAAUCGUAAGAUGAUGUAUAGGGGGUGACGCCUGCCCGGUGCUGGAAGGUUAAGAGGAGUGCUUAGCGUAAGCGAAGGUAUGAAUUGAAGCCCCAGUAAACGGCGGCCGUAACUAUAACGGUCCUAAGGUAGCGAAAUUCCUUGUCGGGUAAGUUCCGACCCGCACGAAAGGCGUAACGAUUUGGGCACUGUCUCAACGAGAGACUCGGUGAAAUUUUAGUACCUGUGAAGAUGCAGGUUACCCGCGACAGGACGGAAAGACCCCAUGGAGCUUUACUGCAAGUUGAUAUUGAGUAUCUGUUGCACAUGUACAGGAUAGGUAGGAGCCAUUGAUCUGAGGACGCUAGUUUUCAGUGAGGCGCUGUUGGGAUACUACCCUUGUGUAAUGGCUACUCUAACCCGCAUGCCUCAUCGGCAUGGGAGACAGUGUCUGCUGGGCAGUUUGACUGGGGCGGUCGCCUCCUAAAGAGUAACGGAGGCGCUCAAAGUUUCCCUCAGCAUGGUUGGAAAUCAUGCGUAGAGUGUAAAGGUAUAAGGGAGAUUGACUGCGAGACUUACAAGUCGAGCAGGUACGAAAGUAGGACUUAGUGAUCCGGUGGUACCGCAUGGAAGGGCCAUCGCUCAACGGAUAAAAGCUACCCUGGGGAUAACAGGCUUAUCUCCCCCAAGAGUUCACAUCGACGGGGAGGUUUGGCACCUCGAUGUCGGCUCGUCGCAUCCUGGGGCUGUAGUCGGUCCCAAGGGUUGGGCUGUUCGCCCAUUAAAGCGGCACGCGAGCUGGGUUCAGAACGUCGUGAGACAGUUCGGUCCCUAUCCGUCGCGGGCGUAGGAAAUUUGAGAGGAUCUGCCCUUAGUACGAGAGGACCGGGGUGGACUUACCGCUGGUGUACCAGUUGUCUUGCCAAAGGCAUCGCUGGGUAGCUAUGUAGGGAACGGAUAAACGCUGAAAGCAUCUAAGUGUGAAACCAACCUCAAGAUGAGAUUUCCCAUUCUUUAUGAAUUAAGAGCCCUGAGAGAUGAUCAGGUAGAUAGGCUAGAAGUGGAAGGACAGUGAUGUUUGGAGCGGACUAGUACUAAUAGCUCGAGGACUUUACC